GACGAACGCUGGCGGCGUGCCUAAUACAUGCAAGUAGAACGCACAGUUUAUACCGUAGCUUGCUACACCAUAGACUGUGAGUUGCGAACGGGUGAGUAACGCGUAGGUAACCUGCCUGGUAGCGGGGGAUAACUAUUGGAAACGAUAGCUAAUACCGCAUAAUAUUAAUUAUUGCAUGAUAAUUAAUUGAAAGGUGCAAUUGCACCACUACCAGAUGGACCUGCGUUGUAUUAGCUAGUAGGUGAGGUAACGGCUCACCUAGGCGACGAUACAUAGCCGACCUGAGAGGGUGAUCGGCCACACUGGGACUGAGACACGGCCCAGACUCCUACGGGAGGCAGCAGUAGGGAAUCUUCGGCAAUGGACGAAAGUCUGACCGAGCAACGCCGCGGGAGUGAAGAAGGUUUUCGGAUCGUAAAGCUCUGUUGUAAGAGAAGAACGGGUGUGAGAGUGGAAAGUUCACACUGUGACGGUAUCUUACCAGAGAGGGACGGCUAACUACGUG
rnacentral:rRNA from 1 species